CUCGUGUUUCUUUAUCCACACACUUAACUUUCAGCGCUUGAGAGGAGUUGUAAAUAAACAUGGAGGUAAAUUGAUUGCAUCGUAGUCAUUACCCGUAAAGAAAGUAUCGCUGCUAACCUGUGGGAUCCAGCACUUAUCCUUGAAAGCGUCUCCUGCAGAGGGAAGAGAGUCAGUCAUCAAACGAGUGAAGCGCCGACGUGAUACUCACCAUGCAGCCUUCUCAGAGGUACAAAGUCGGAGGACACCACAGAUCUGGGAAGCUUACAGGCAAGCCCGCAGGUCCCCAGCCAGACUACAGGGAAUGCUGGUGUGUUGUAAGCC